rnacentral:snoRNA from 1 species
CCACUUGAAGAUGAUGAGCUGGUGAGUACAUCCUCACCGCCUUGAUGAAGAAUAUGACCCGGUCGUGUCCUCCGUGAUUGGCCGUCAGAUGCAAUCUCAGUUAGCGAGCUAUAUUCUCAGAUGCUUGCAUUUGAGA